GAGGGGGUAGCUCAGUGGUAGAACGCGUGUUUAGCAUGCACGAGGUCCUGGGUUUAAUCCCCAGCACCUCCA
rnacentral:tRNA from 1 species